rnacentral:rRNA from 1 species
GAAUGCUGACAUAAGUAACGAUAAAGCGGGUGAAAAGCCCGCUCGCCGGAAGACCAAGGGUUCCUGUCCAACGUUAAUCGGGGCAGGGUGAGUCGACCCCUAAGGCGAGGCCGAAAGGCGUAGUCGAUGGGAAACGGGUUAAUAUUCCCGUACUUGGUGUUACUGCGAAGGGGGGACGGAGAAGGCUAUGUUGGCCGGGCGACGGUUGUCCCGGUUUAAGCGUGUAGGUGUGUGUUCCAGGUAAAUCCGGUUCACUUUAACACUGAGGCGUGACGACGAGGCACUACGGUGCUGAAGCAACAAAUGCCCUGCUUCCAGGAAAAGCCUCUAAGCAUCAGGUAACACGAAAUCGUACCCCAAACCGACACAGGUGGUCAGGUAGAGAAUACCAAGGCGCUUGAGAGAACUCGGGUGAAGGAACUAGGCAAAAUGGUGCCGUAACUUCGGGAGAAGGCACGCUGACACGUAGGUGAAGUGAUUUACUCAUGGAGCUGAAGUCAGUCGAAGAUACCAGCUGGCUGCAACUGUUUAUUAAAAACACAGCACUGUGCAAACACGAAAGUGGACGUAUACGGUGUGACGCCUGCCCGGUGCCGGAAGGUUAAUUGAUGGGGUCAGCGUAAGCGAAGCUCCUGAUCGAAGCCCCGGUAAACGGCGGCCGUAACUAUAACGGUCCUAAGGUAGCGAAAUUCCUUGUCGGGUAAGUUCCGACCUGCACGAAUGGCGUAAUGAUGGCCAGGCUGUCUCCACCCGAGACUCAGUGAAAUUGAACUCGCUGUGAAGAUGCAGUGUACCCGCGGCAAGACGGAAAGACCCCGUGAACCUUUACUAUAGCUUGACACUGAACAUUGAGCCUUGAUGUGUAGGAUAGGUGGGAGGCUUUGAAGUGUGGACGCCAGUCUGCAUGGAGCCGACCUUGAAAUACCACCCUUUAAUGUUUGAUGUUCUAACGUGGACCCGUAAUCCGGGUUGCGGACAGUGUCUGGUGGGUAGUUUGACUGGGGCGGUCUCCUCCUAAAGAGUAACGGAGGAGCACGAAGGUUGGCUAAUCCUGGUCGGACAUCAGGAGGUUAGUGCAAUGGCAUAAGCCAGCUUGACUGCGAGCGUGACGGCGCGAGCAGGUGCGAAAGCAGGUCAUAGUGAUCCGGUGGUUCUGAAUGGAAGGGCCAUCGCUCAACGGAUAAAAGGUACUCCGGGGAUAACAGGCUGAUACCGCCCAAGAGUUCAUAUCGACGGCGGUGUUUGGCACCUCGAUGUCGGCUCAUCACAUCCUGGGGCUGAAGUAGGUCCCAAGGGUAUGGCUGUUCGCCAUUUAAAGUGGUACGCGAGCUGGGUUUAGAACGUCGUGAGACAGUUCGGUCCCUAUCUGCCGUGGGCGCUGGAGAACUGAGGGGGGCUGCUCCUAGUACGAGAGGACCGGAGUGGACGCAUCACUGGUGUUCGGGUUGUCAUGCCAAUGGCACUGCCCGGUAGCUAAAUGCGGAAGAGAUAAGUGCUGAAAGCAUCUAAGCACGAAACUUGCCCCGAGAUGAGUUCUCCCUGAGACUUAGAGUCUCCUGAAG